GAUGAGCGCUGGCUACAGGCUUAACACAUGCAAGUCGAGGGGAAACGACGGGGAAGCUUGCUUCCCCGGGCGUCGACCGGCGCACGGGUGAGUAACGCGUAUCCAACCUGCCUCUGACUGAGGGAUAACCCGUCGAAAGUCGGCCUAAUACCUCAUGGCAUCGUCUGCGGGCAUCCAACGACGAUUAAAGAUUUCAUCGGUCAGGGAUGGGGAUGCGUCUGAUUAGCUUGUUGGCGGGGUAACGGCCCACCAAGGCUACGAUCAGUAGGGGUUCUGAGAGGAAGGUCCCCCACAUUGGAACUGAGACACGGUCCAAACUCCUACGGGAGGCAGCAGUGAGGAAUAUUGGUCAAGGGGCGGGAGCCUGAACCAGCCAAGUAGCGUGCAGGAUGACGGCCCUAUGGGUUGUAAACUGCUUUUAUGCGGGGAUAAAGUGAGGGACGUGUCCUUCAUUGCAGGUACCGCAUGAAUAAGGACCGGCUAAUUCCGUG
rnacentral:rRNA from 1 species